rnacentral:tRNA from 2 species
GGGCUCGUAGUUUAAUGGUAGAACACAGCAUUCGCAUUGCUGAAAUCCGAGUUCGAUUCUCGGUGAGUCCA